CGAUAGCUCAGUUGGGACAGCAUCAGACUGAAAAUCUGAAGGCCCUGUGCUCUAUUC
rnacentral:tRNA from 14 species